CAAGUAGCUUCCUAUGUGAAACUUUGGUUAUUCUGACACAUUCUAAGAGCUACAUCAAUAAGCUAAAGCAUUCAAAUAAUCUUCCAAACAGGAGCUCUGCCUUUCACCUAUCUACAGGAAAUUUCUCAUUUCUCUCCUAUUGGUGGGGUGUAGCAGGAUAUUUACAAGUUCAGAUAUGACCUAGAAGUAUAAGAAUGGUUCACUGCUGUUCCACAUCUGGAGGUGUAGAUGGGAUGCUCUUGGCCUGCUUCAGGGCAAAGCCAGCCAGGGAGGCUUAUCAGUGGACGAGGUACCCAAGAUGUGGAGAUGCAUUAAAAGGAAAAUAAUUCAGGUGAAGAACACCUGCUUGGCUGAGAACACCAUUAGAAGGUGAGUGUUUUUCAUAAAAUAAAUAGGAUCUUCUCUGUCA
rnacentral:lncRNA from 1 species